AUCACAGAUUGCCUUACUCACAACAUCGUCUGUCCUUGCCUUUAUAGGGUGUCUUGUAAAGUGUUGAGAUGAAGUUGCAUGUGGUGAUUCUUGCCGUGCUGGUGAUGAUGGCCACGCUUUUCUCAGUUCAUGGCCUGCCUGAGCCGAGAGCAGACCCUAAUCCUGAUCCUAAUCCUAUGCCUAGUCCAGUUGCUGACCCUGUAGCUGGUCCUGGUCCAAACGCUGAUCCUGAGCCCAACCCUUGGAAAAAGAGGCGUUAUGGAGGUGGUCGCAGACGCUGCUGUUAUGGUUAGAUAUGACAAGUCUUUCACAGGCUGAGAUUAUGUAUUACCCCAAUAAUGGUUACUGAUAUACCAUUCUUAUAAGUAAUAAACAUAUCCUUUGUACCAUUAUCAAAGAUGUAUUUGGGAUAAAUAUAAUGAAUAUACAUAAA